rnacentral:rRNA from 1 species
AUUGAACGCUGGCGGCAUGCCUUACACAUGCAAGUCGAACGGCAGCGGACCUUCGGGUGCCGGCGAGUGGCGAACGGGUGAGUAAUGCAUCGGAACGUGCCAUUGAGUGGGGGAUAACGUAGCGAAAGUUACGCUAAUACCGCAUAUUCUGUGAGCAGGAAAGCAGGGGACCGCAAGGCCUCGCGCGAUGGGAGCGGCCGAUAUCGGAUUAGCUUGUUGGUGAGGUAAAGGCUCACCAAGGCGACGAUCCGUAGCUGGUCUGAGAGGACGACCAGCCACACUGGAACUGAGACACGGUCCAGACUCCUACGGGAGGCAGCAGUGGGGAAUUUUGGACAAUGGGGGCAACCCUGAUCCAGCCAUUCCGCGUGAGUGAAGAAGGCCUCGGUUGGUAAAGACGUCUUUCUAGCAGGAACGAAAACGGUA